GUCGAGAAUUUUUCACAAUGGGGGAAACCCUGAUGGAGCGACGCCGCGUGGGGGAUGAAUGGCUUCGGCCCGUAAACCCCUGUCAUUUGCGAUCAAAGCGCAUUAUUUAAAAGAUGAUGUGUUGAUAGUAGCGAAAGAGGAAGGGACGGCUAACUCUGUGCCAGCAGCCGCGGUAAUACAGAGGUCCCGAGCGUUGUUCGGAUUCACUGGGCGUAAAGGGUGCGUAGGUGGUGGGGUAAGUCGGAUGUGAAAUCUCGGAGCUUAACUCCGAAACGGCAUUGGAAACUGCCCUGCUUGAGGGUUGGAGGGGGGACUGGAAUACUUGGUGUAGCAGUGAAAUGCGUAGAUAUCAAGUGGAACACCGGUGGCGAAGGCGAGUCCCUGGACAACACCUGACACUGAGGCACGAAAGCUAGGGGAGCAAACAGGAUUAGAAACCCCGGUAGUCC
rnacentral:rRNA from 1 species